ensembl:lncRNA
ACAGUACUGCUCAGCAACAACUGAAACAUUAUGACUGAUUUGCUAAGUGUUCUUGGAGAAUGUUUUACUUAGCACCUGGUGGAAAGGAAGUGUCCCAAGAGGAGAUGGAUGUAAGAGGGUGAAGAUGAUCAGGGGAGUUCUGCUUCAGGAGGUUUCAGCCAGAAUUUGGAUCAGAAGAACGAGUGGCAAAAGAGAGAAGAAGUGCCAUUUACUCAGGUGGACUUUCUUCACAGUAUCAUUCCUUUCCACAGACAACACUGAAGCAUGUUAUUCAAAACUCUUUACAGAGGAUCAUUGCAUGAACUGAAGUUGAAGGAGUUAAGAGUCAAACGCUUCAGAACUUUUCAGAUCGUAUUUCUACAGCUGGAGGCUUCGCAUGCACAAAGACCAGUAGUGUAAGCUCUCCUGAUUUUGAUUUUCAGAAAACGUUGUCAUGAAUUGUCAGCAUCAUGAAGUGGUUUAUAGUUUGACUUUUUUUUACGUGUGUAUGAAAAUAUGUGCUUUUAGAUAGCUCAGAAGUGAAAAGAAUUAGUAUCUUAGAAACUGAAGGAAUGAGAAUAAAUGGGGUGCUAACUGGAUCUCAACUUUGACAACCUGUAUGAUCAAUGACACAGAAUAAAAAUUAUUCAGAAAAAUUUUAUGAAGUACUUUGAUGUAGUUAUAUAUGAUGCUACAGUACAAAGAAAAAUAACUAAAUCAUUGACAAAUUAUCAAGUGUCCACGUGCUUCCUCAUAGAAAAUACAGUAAUAUUCAUCACAUGAAAAUUAAAAAUGCAUGUUGCUAAGCUUGAGACAUUCAUUGUGUAUUUUAAAAUGUACCAUUAUAUACAUUUUCAUCACUUUUCAUGAGUAAAGUGAAACAAACUGAAAGUAGCAGUUCAUCAGUUUCUUACUAACUGUGACAAUAGCAGUAUUUUCUCACUGACCAGAUAAGAUGGGAAAAUGUUAAGUGUUUUUCUCACAGAUGGAUUAUUUACUGAAUAAUAUAACAUGCAUUUCCAACAGCAACUCGCCUGAAGUUGUUUGUCAAAGUUCUGAUAGAAAUAAUUUAAAAUAAAAAGCUCUGUAACAGUAUGAAGAGGUCUGUAUGAGAACACUGACAUUUAACACAGUCUGUCGAAGCAUGGAUAUUUACAGUACAUUAAUUAUAGUGUGUCUCUUCUUGGUUGAUGAAUGUUCUUGCUGGCUAACAGUUUGCUUUAUCUGACAUUUUUAUCAUUCGUGAACUUAAGUAAAGAACAUAAUCUAAAACAUAUAUCUCUGCCACUGCAUUACUCUAUUUUCAUUUAUUAUAUUAUUUGUCAAGGUGGGUAAAAAUUGAGUCAUGUCCUCCCACUCAUGCAUUCUGAAACAAAAUGCCACAUUGCUUCUAUGUAGAAAUAUUUUUGAGUUUGUUACUGAUGGGAAAUUUCAGAUCUCUAUUCAGAAACAAAAGUGGUUAUUAGGACUUCUAAAUAGAAAUUCCAUGUUCUCAUCUUCUAUUAUUAAAAGUUAAUUUCUUUAUAGCAUAGGUGAUGUCCUUUAUCCUAUAUUUACAGAAGUUAGCAACAUGGCCUUAUAAAAAUAAACCAAACAAGAAUAAAUA